rnacentral:rRNA from 1 species
GACGAACGCUGGCGGCGUGCCUAAUACAUGCAAGUCGAACGCUUCUUUUUCACCGAACUUCGGUUCAUCGAAAAAGAGGAGUGGCGAACGGGUGAGUAACACGUGGGUAACCUGCCCAUCAGAAGGGGAUAACACUUGGAAACAGGUGCUAAUACCGUAUAAUGCUUUUUCUCGCAUGAGAGGAAGCUGAAAGGCGCUUUUGCGUCACUGAUGGAUGGACCCGCGGUGCAUUAGCUAGUUGGUGAGGUAACGGCUCACCAAGGCCACGAUGCAUAGCCGACCUGAGAGGGUGAUCGGCCACACUGGGACUGAGACACGGCCCAGACUCCUACGGGAGGCAGCAGUAGGGAAUCUUCGGCAAUGGACGAAAGUCUGACCGAGCAACGCCGCGUGAGUGAAGAAGGUUUUCGGAUCGUAAAACUCUUGUUGUUAGAGAAGAACAAGGAUGAGAGUAAAAAGUUCAUCCCUUGACGGUAUCUAACCAGAAAGCCACGGCUAACUACGUGCCAGCAGCCGCGGUAAUACGUAGGUGGCAAGCGUUGUCCGGAUUUAUUGGGCGUAAAGCGAGCGCAGGCGGGUUCUUAAGUCUGAUGUGAAAGCCCCCGGCUCAACCGGGGAGGGUCAUUGGAAACUGGGAGACUUGAGUGCAGAAGAGGAGAGUGGAAUUCCAUGUGUAGCGGUGAAAUGCGUAGAUAUAUGGAGGAACACCAGUGGCGAAGGCGGCUCUCUGGUCUGUAACUGACGCUGAGGCUCGAAAGCGUGGGGAGCAAACAGGAUUAGAUACCCUGGUAGUCCACGCCGUAAACGAUGAGUGCUAAGUGUUGGAGGGUUUCCACCCUUUCAGUGACUGCAGAUAACGCAUUAAGCACUCCGCCUGGGGAGUACGACCGCAAGGUUGAAACUCAAAGGAAUUGACGGGGGCCCGCACAAGCGGUGGAGCAUGUGGUUUAAUUCGAAGYAACGCGAAGAACCUUAACARGYCUUUGACAUCCUUUGGACCAUCCCUAGAGAUAGGACUUUCCCCUUCCCGG